rnacentral:rRNA from 1 species
AAGACCUUGCGCUUUUGGAGCGGCCGAUGCCUGAUUAGCCUGUUGGUAAGGUAAAAGCUUACCAAGGCUUCGAUCAGUAGCUGGUCUGAGAGGACGACCAGCCACACUGGGACUGAGACACGGCCCAGACUCCUACGGGAGGCAGCAGUGGGGAAUUUUGGACAAUGGGGGCAACCCUGAUCCAGCCAUGCCGCGUGAGUGAAGAAGGCCUUCGGGUUGUAAAGCUCUUUCAGCCGGAACGAAACGGUUACGGUUAACACCCGUGACUACUGACGGUACCGGAAGAAGAAGCACCGGCUAACUACGUGCCAGCAGCCGCGGUAAUACGUAGGGUGCGAGCGUUAAUCGGAAUUACUGGGCGUAAAGCGUGCGCAGGUGGUUUUGUAAGUCAGAUGUGAAAGCCCCGGGCUCAACCUGGGAACU